rnacentral:rRNA from 1 species
AUUGAACGCUGGCGGAAUGCUUUACACAUGCAAGUCGAACGGCAGCACGGGGGCAACCCUGGUGGCGAGUGGCGAACGGGUGAGUAAUACAUCGGAACGUGCCCGGUCGUGGGGGAUAACGUAGCGAAAGUUACGCUAAUACCGCAUACGAUCUGAGGAUGAAAGCGGGGGACCUUCGGGCCUCGCGCGAUCGGAGCGGCCGAUGUCAGAUUAGGUAGUUGGUGGGGUAAAGGCCUACCAAGCCGACGAUCUGUAGCUGGUCUGAGAGGACGACCAGCCACACUGGGACUGAGACACGGCCCAGACUCCUACGGGAGGCAGCAGUGGGGAAUUUUGGACAAUGGGGGCAAGCCUGAUCCAGCCAUUCCGCGUGCAGGACGAAGGCCUUCGGGUUGUAAACUGCUUUUGUAUGGAACGAAAAGGCUCUGGCUAAUACCUGGGGCUCAUGACGGUACCGUAAGAAUAAGCACCGGCUAACUACGUG